UACGGAGGGUGCAAGCGUUAUCCGGAUUCACUGGGUUUAAAGGGUGCGUAGGUGGGCAGGUAAGUCAGUGGUGAAAUCUCCGGGCUUAACUCGGAAACUGCCAUUGAUACUAUCUGUCUUGAAUACCGUGGAGGUUAGCGGAAUAUGUCAUGUAGCGGUGAAAUGCUUAGAUAUGACAUAGAACACCAAUUGCGAAGGCAGCUGGCUACACGAAUAUUGACACUGAUGCAUGAAAGCGUGGGGAUCAAACAGG
rnacentral:rRNA from 1 species